AGGCUCUUUCUAGAUGCUGAGGAUACAGCAGUGAACAAACAGACAAAAAUCACUGUUUUCAAGAAAUUUACAUUUUGGGAAGUGAGGAGAGACAAACAUUUAAAGAAAAUCAAUAAAUGAAAUACAGAUCGUAGACCAGAUGGAUAAGUGCCAUGGCGAAAAAUAAAGGUCACACAGAACACCACGAACCCACCCCCAUGGUUCUGGAAUGAUUGGAAUUCACAGCAUUGCCUACCUCAAAAAUAAUGAAAGGUUCUGCAGAGACCCACUGACGGCUUAUGUUUACGCCACUUGUUUUCGCAAGGGAGCUUAAGGUCUUCCUUCUGUGAAGCGAAGAGAGGAGUGUUGACGGUGCCUGUUUUUCUGUAAUGGACCUAUUUGGCAAAAUGAGAUAACCGAGACUUGCCCCAAAUCAUAUAAGUAGAGGUAGAGCCAGGGCUUGACCCCAGGCCGGCAGGACUCCAGUGCUCGUUGUCUCCAGUGCAGCCCCUUGCACAAGUGCCGGCAUUCUCCCAACUUCCAGCUGACCAUCUCCGGCUGUAAGUUCCACCAGCACCUCGAAUUUAAUAUGUGAAAGCAAAAUUCAUGCCUCCUCUGUCUGCUCCGGUUAGCAUCCCUGUUCUUCCUCUCUCAGGCUUAAAACCUCCACUUGUUCUUUUCUCUUCCCACUCCUUUCUUGCCCCAUCCAGAAGGUUGCCUGGCCUCAUCGACGUCCGACCCAGACUUCCCAUUCCUGUGGCUGCGUGGCAGGCGAGCCCAUGCGGCCUCUCCCCUGUGAGCCUGUCCCAGGCUGCUGGUCUCCAUCAUCUCCAAUGGACGAGAAUUCUGCUGCCAGAGAAAGCUUCUGUUAGAGCCUAGCUCUGAUUUCCUCACUCUCUGCUCAAAACUUAAUGUCAUACUAACAAUAACAAUGGAUUUCUUCCUGUGGACUCAAAAGAAUGUUCACCCUCCUUAGUUUGUCAUUCAAGGCCUUCAACGAUAUUCCUCAGCCCAAAUUUCCAGAGUUAAACCGCUUGAUGUUGCCUUCAUACCCCUUUUUGCCUCUUCCUAUCCUUUUAUUCCAAGCAAACCCCUCCUGUCGCCUCGCCCUUUCCCCCUGCGUCUUUCUCUGUCUGGUACUGUUUGCUGAAACGGGCUCUCCAUCGCCUCUCCCUGCUCGCAUCCUAACUGUCGCUCCAGGUGGGUUUCAGGUGCCACUCCUUCCCUGGAGCCUUCCUGCUCUGCUGGAAGGGGCCUCCGCUUCCCGAGGCUGCUGGCGGCAUGUGGUACAGCGGCAGGCGGUGGUCACCCGGCCCGCACUCCUCCUCAGACUCCUCCUUGGACUUCCUGAAGACAGGGAUCUGGUCUUCACAUUUUGGUUCCCCUUAGGGCCUAGCCCAGGAACUCAAACAUUCACUGAAGGAGUGGAUGAGGCUGGAAGAGGAUUGCAGAAGGAAGCGUGAGGUUGCUGACAGAAAACUGGGCUCUAUUUGCAUCCUCCAUGCUUUAGACGCCCCUAGAAUUUCUCCUGAAGAAGUCAGUCCCACUUCAUCCACGUGGUUUUAUCUGAGGCUUUGCUUUGCUGCUCCCCUGUCACGUGGUCUACUCUUUCUUCAUCAAAUCAUUUUGUUUUCACUCUCUUUUACUCUAUCAGAAAUGGUUCCACCUUUUAGGAUUGAAACAGCUCUCUUCGAUCACUCCAAAAACCCAUUUAUACUUAUUUCAGGGAUUUGUAUUUUGUGUAUUCUAAAAAUAUUCUUACAGCCUUCUGUCAUUUACACUUUGGGCAAUUUAAAUUUGUGGCUAUUUGUCCUUGUCCUAGAACCCCUAUUUAUCUCUUUGCUGAGGGCAGGGCCAUUGUGUGGCACAGUAUCAGGGCCAUAACGUUGGUAGCCUGUAUGGAUGGGGUUCUCCUGAGUUGAGCAGUGCUUGGCUUGUUCAACAGUAUGUGGCAGCCCUGACUGUGGACCCAUAAAAGUCAGGUGUACACUUGGCUGAUUUCUGGUCAGUUUGUAAGUCAUCAUGGGUUCAUUUGGACCCUGGGUAUCUCCAGGAGGGUUGAAUGGGAAGUCAGCUGCAUGCGGUUUCUUUAGUCACUCAGAGUUUCAGGAAAACAGGCUCCUAUCUGGCCAUCCAGCCCUUGUCCGGUCUGUCACUGCACAUGCAGAGACUCCACAGGCUGCCAAUGUGAAAGCUGGGAGCCUCAGAAAGCACUUGUAGGUGUUAAAUUUCACAUUUGGGUAUUCAGAUUGGCACCAGAGGAAAAAAUACUUGGAAUCCAACAGCUUUGCCAAUUAUGACAAGUUAGUGUGGCCCUUUGUGUCAGAAGUAUGUGCUUGGUUAAGCCCUGGGUUAAACAAGGGUGGUGGGUCCUAUGUAAACACAAAGAGAAAUCACACUUUAUAUUAGUCUACACCUGUGCUUGACCAGCUCCUCAGCGGCCCUGCUUCUCGUGGAGUGAAUGUGGCAGGCAGUGCAAUGAUGCCUCCCCUUCAGGGGUUGGGGCUGCUUCCUCCCGCCUGGGAUGCCCAGCCCUCUGAACACGACGGCAAUGCGGGAUGAAGGCUUUCCUGCAGAGAAGCCACCGUCUGCAAUUUUCUUGGAACUUGAUGUGAGUUUGGAAGGAAAAAUGACCCAGAGGAGGACAAGCAAGGAGAGACAGCCCAUUAGCACCUGAACCAUAUGACAAAGCAAAACGCAACUUCAGAGCUGUCAGCGAGACAGCUGGGGGAACAUGCCAAGAAGCCAGAUACUGCUGUUGAAAGACUAUUUUCCACAAAGUUUGGGCCUGUGAUGUUCAUCUCAGCGCCAUGUGUGGCCCUAGGCACGGGCUUUAUUGCUGGAUAAAAGAACAAAAGCAGGGAGGGGGGCAAUUGUGUGCAUGCCGGGGGCUGACUUAUAAAAUUAAAGCAGAUGAUGAGUGGAAAUCCUGUUCGCUAUAACCUACCAACAUUAUUAAGAAUCUGAACUCUAUACCUGUCUCCUCUAUAAGGGAUGUAUUUGGAAAACUCCCCAACAAGUGGCAUGUUUUAACUGGAAGCUAGAUAUUAGGUUGGUGAGAUCCCACUGCCAGCUCAUCCUGUCAGACUUUCUAGCUUCAUUCUGUGGUCCCAGGAAUAUUCAUAUAUGUGAAGUCUUCUGGUAUUUUUCUUUGUUCCAGAUCAGUGGAAUUUGUUCUCAUUUUAGAGGUGAAGGAACUGAAAAGAAUCUUACAGACUUAAAGAAGUGUGAAAGGGUUUGCUUCAAGACCUUCCCUUUGACGUCUCUGGGCAUAGAAACUCCUGGGUGCACAGCCUUUACCCAGCUCCCACCACUGGACUACACUGUCCUGCUCUUGGCUCUCCCCGUCUCACUCCCCCAGACCCGCCUAUUUCCAUUAUCUACUCUCUCCUCUCCCCCCACCACUCCGGACUCAUGAUAUAAGAGACCAAAAUCUUUUCUUUCAUGCCCAAAAGGGUGCUGGGGGAAUCAUGUCUUGACUUUUUGGAAGAGAAAAGCAUUUUUUAAAAAAGGUUAUUUGUACUGGAGAGAAUUUCUGGAAACAGGCUGGAUAGAUACGUUAAAAAAUCUUGAGGUGUGAGAAAAUGAUUCUUUCUGCGUCAUGCAAACAGAGCAGUCAGCAGAUAAAUUGUAGACAUCAAGACCUCACGCGUUUCCUGAGGACACUGGGGAGGAGAGUGCUUUGCCUUCACACCACGAGAGCUGGGUGGAAGCAGUUUCUAGCGUGUCCACUCUUGGUUUACCCCCUUGAAGAAAAGAGAGCAGACAUGGGGCUAACAUAAAGUAUUGGGUCAUCUAAAGCUCAGAUGCCUUGUAGCUGCUGUGGACUGUGGUUCUGCCUUGACACGCUUUUAUGCGGAUGGGGCAAGUUGGAAGACUCUGGAGUUUGCUGGCCAGGUCACUGAGCACCCGGGGUUUGGACUUCAAACAGGCAGGAGAAGGAGGCUUUCCUCACUGCUUUUUCUUCCCUUUCUGACUUGUCUUCUGUUACGGAGCAACAAGGAGUUCUCACUGCCUGUCUUAGCUUGGGUUCUUUCCAGAAAGCAGAGCCAGA